GGGUCAUCAGGGAACAGUGUAGCACCUGGGGGUGAGUGCCAGGUGGGCAGCUACUGCCAGCCCUGGUCCUGGAGGGGCUUGGGGAGGGCAUGGUGUUCUCAGCGCCCAGUGCACUGCAGCCGUGGGAGGAGUGGUGCCCACUGGGAGCUGUGGCUGCUGACUGAGGAAGGCAGGUCUAACCCAAACCACCUGGCAAGGCAAACAGAUGCAAUGAAACUUUUCUGAUAACUUUGUUUUCUAUUUACUGCCUGGAGCAUAGUAGCAGAACAGGGGGUUACACUUGAGAUAUUGGAGAAACCAUGCCAUCUGAAUAGCUGUUUCUGCACCAGGUUGACUGUCGGCAUUGAGAGCCAUAAAGAGAAACAAGGUGUAAAUGCACAGAAGAGAGAAGUUAAUGACCACUUAUCUUGUACCAUCUUGGGAGGAGUGACUUCUGGUGCUAAGUAUCAGGAAACAUCCGGGGGAAUGAUUUCCAGGGGAGAAGUCCUAGAAGAGGGCUCCUGCUGGCUUGGAAGAAAGCAAACAUCCAUGCUGUGAAUGGACUAUGGAGACCACAGGGCAAAGAAUACCAGCGACCUCUGGGAGCCAGGCACGAUCUCCAGAUGACAGCUAGCAGCAAACAGGAAACAUAUUCCUACUAGUUGACCAGAAACUGGAUUUUGCCAACAAUCCGGUUGAGCUUCAAAGGGGACCCAGGAUGAGAACUCAGAAUGGCUGGAGGCCUGACUGCAGCCUUGUGAGACCC
ensembl:lncRNA